rnacentral:snRNA from 1 species
GUCCUCCCUUUGACAGCAUACACCCUAAGACUGGAAUGAUGCAGAAAAGAUUAGCAUGGAUCCUGCACAAGGAUGACACGCAAAUUUGCAGUGUUUCACAUUUUU